rnacentral:rRNA from 1 species
UACGUAGGGUGCAAGCGUUGUCCGGAAUUAUUGGGCGUAAAGAGCUCGUAGGCGGUUCGUCGCGUCGGCUGUGAAAACCUGAGGCUCAACCUCAGCCUGCAGUCGAUACGGGCGGACUUGAGUACUGCAGGGGAGACUGGAAUUCCUGGUGUAGCGGUGAAAUGCGCAGAUAUCAGGAGGAACACCGGUGGCGAAGGCGGGUCUCUGGGCAGUAACUGACGCUGGAGGAGCGAAAGCGUGGGGAGCGAACAGG